rnacentral:rRNA from 1 species
UACGAAGGGGGCUAGCGUUGUUCGGAAUUACUGGGCGUAAAGCGCACGUAGGCGGACGUUUAAGUCAGGGGUGAAAUCCCAGGGCUCAACCCUGGAACUGCCUUUGAUACUGGACGUCUUGAGUACGGGAGAGGUGAGUGGAAUUCCGAGUGUAGAGGUGAAAUUCGUAGAUAUUCGGAAGAACACCAGUGGCGAAGGCGGCUCACUGGCCCGUAACUGACGCUGAGGUGCGAAAGCGUGGGGAGCAAACAGG